GUAAAUUUUUUUUGCUAUAUCGCCUUUAUCGGCGGUUGCUUGGUUAAAAAACGCAAAUUUGCUCGUACAAAUAACGCUUUCGAAUGCCGUAUAAUUAGUGGUAAUAUAUAGAAAAAUAUUAAAGGUACAUUAGGUGAGCAAAAAUAAAUACAGCAUACACUGAGUCUACUUAGGUAAAUGGUACAACAUAAUCGGUGGCCCUUGAAUAGAUUUUUCCAUUUAACAAUAGCGUCUACCCAAAGAUUACUGGAAAUUAUUACUCAUAAAGGAAAGAA